rnacentral:rRNA from 1 species
UACGGGGGGGGCAAGCGUUGUUCGGAUUCAUUGGGCGUAAAGGGUGCGUAGGCGGCGCGGUAAGUCGGGUGUGAAAUCUCGGGGCUUAACUCCGAAACUGCAUUCGAUACUGCCGUGCUUGAGGACUGGAGAGGAGACUGGAAUUCAUGGUGUAGCAGUGAAAUGCGUAGAGAUCAUGAGGAAGACCAGUGGCGAAGGCGGGUCUCUGGACAGUUCCUGACACUGAGGCACGAAGGCCAGGGGAGCGAAUGGG